CAGUUGUAUAACAUUUUAUUAAAACCUUUCUCUAUUGGCUCAAAGGCACAAGAGAAUCUCCGGUUGUGUUUGGCAUGAGAGGUAAUUUCUAUUUCUAACUUAGCUUCUCUUGGCCGUCCAGAAAUUGUUUACUUAACAUUUUAAUCUAUUUACAUCAGUUUUAAAAGACGUAUAUUUCACACUGAAGCAUUGAAACAUACACAUCCCAUGGAGAGUGGAUUUGGACAUCAGUUUUGGGGACGGAUGUAUCUCCACCUUCUCACACCUCCCUCCCCUAGCUGUGGUCUGAAAUGAGUGGCCCUAAGUAAACCCCAGGCCUGGUAGUUGUAUUUUUCCUCGGACUGGGAGCUCACUUAGCUACAGCCAGAAUAUUGAAGUGCCUUAAGUAUGCCGUUUGUUAAUUGCUGCAGUCCCCACUGGCAAGUGCCUUGGAGACCUAGUAUACCCCGCUUUCUGAGCCCACUGCUUUCAUCUGCAGUCGGCCCUCACCUGUCUCCGCAGGGCUCAGCGCCUCAAUCAGCGACUGCAGACCUAGGCAGGGUCAGGAGAGAGUUGGCUUUCAGGCUCCAGUAAAGCACCUAAGUGCCAGACCCCGGAUGGUUUGGAAUGUCGUAGGCCUGAGUCUCCUAACUGCUAGGCAGACUCAGUCUAC
rnacentral:lncRNA from 1 species